rnacentral:rRNA from 1 species
CUAAACCAUUGGUAGAGGACCUGCUUCUGGGUCAGGGUUUCGUAGGUAGCAGGGCAACUCCCUUGCUGCGAUCUAUUGAAAGUCAGUCCUCGACACAAGGGUUUGU